GGUGAUAUAGUGUAGUAGGUAUCACAUCUCCAUACAAGCCUCGAAAGUUUGCUCGGAGAAGAUCCUGAGUUCGAGUCUCAAUGCCAUCA
rnacentral:tRNA from 1 species